rnacentral:tRNA from 1 species
GAGGGUAUAGCUCAGUGGUAGAGAGCAUGCCUAGCAUGCAUGAGGUCCUGGGUUCAAUCCCCAGUACCUCCA